rnacentral:lncRNA from 1 species
CUGGUGAGGCGGGUGGAUCGACGCUUGCUUGCUUGCUUGCUUGCUUGCUUGAACGGCCGACCUUCUUGGAAGGGUGAGAGCUCGUAUCAGUUCAUAUCGAGAGUUAAGCUUCGAAGGUGACGUCGUGUUCUGCUGCCAGUGAGAAAGAUUACGGCAGCGAGGAAGAGGGCGAAGGCUAUGAGGACGCAGCCAACGACUACGUUUCGGCCGAAUUCCCUGACGAAGGACUGGGCGAAUCUGACAGCAGGUCCUACUACGCUGAAGAUCCUGCAGGCCUCGAGGUC